rnacentral:rRNA from 1 species
GCUUGGAGUGGACAGAAAUGGCCUACAUUUUCUCACAUCAGGAAAUACUCGAAUGACACUGUGAUAUUAGUGAUUGAAGGUGGAGUUAUCAGUCAAUAGAAAAUAGAAAA